ensembl:snRNA U6 U6 spliceosomal RNA
GUGCUUGCUUCGGCAACACAUGUACUAAAAUUGGAAUGCUGCAGAGAAAUUAGCAUGGCCCCUGGACAAUAAAAUUGGAAUGCUGCAGAGAAAUUAGCAUGGCCCCUGGACAAGGAUGACAUGCAAAUUCGUGAAGUGUUCCAUAUUUUU